GCCGGGGGGGGCGGGGCAGCGUGGCCUGGGUGGGCGGGGCGGAGGCGAGCUGGGCUGAGAGGGCGGGGCGGCCCCACCUGAGGCGCCGGAGGCGGGGCGGCCACCCUUUGCCUCGUUGCUGCCCGCGGAGAGCUCCUGACUCGCGGCCGCCCGGAUCCCGCGAGGCAUCGGUACCUCGCGAUGCUGUUCUACUUGGACAGAGCCCGCAGGGGGGACGGUGAGGCCCCAAGACCCACGCUUUCCGCGGGCGCCCCUCCGUGCUGUCUCUUGGGGACUGCGGGAAGGGGGACCCACGUCCCCCAGUUGUAUUGAUUUCGCUGUUUGACCCCCUUCCUGCGCACCCCUCUCGCUGACCCUAAAGACCUGAGGGAUCCCAAGGCAGGGGCUCUCAUAGAUGGAGGAAGGAGGCUGCCACCUGCAGUUUUGGAAGCUCCUGUUGGAUUAGAAACUUAAUGAAUGCCAAAAUAUGGUCGCAGAAACGGCAGUACAUUUUUAAACUUUACAUCAAGAACGACCUUUAAUGUUACGUAGCCGUGCUAUUCAGGAGAUCGUUACUGGAUUUAGAGAGCCACGCUCCAGCCCAGACCCUGAGGAUCCAGAACAGUCUUCUUCAGACAGGAGCCACGGCUUAAUAUCUGAGACAUCCUCCCAACAAGGAGGUCUUAUUCUGGUUUUCAAAAGCUUCCAUUUGGGUGCAAUUGCAUCUUUUAUGAGCUGUUAGGAUAUGAGGCUUCUAAACUGCUCUUGUGAUAAAGUUCAAUUGGCAAUGUACACAAAGAAGGCACUGUGUGUCCCAGAUGAGAACACCAAGAGAAUGAAAUGUGGCUGGACUUAGAACAGAGACAACCACUUGGACUCUGGGACAAUGUUACCGGGUUUUACAAGUUAUAAAACAUCAUGCUUGGGAACCAAAAGAUUAUGUGUUCUCAGGUGUUGGGGGAAAUAACACAUCAGCCCUAGGUUUCAGGCAGUGGAAGUGACUGCCUCCUUCCUUAAGAGAUCUCUAGCAUUUGGUUCAUAAGAUUUGCCAAUUGGGUUUCAUUUGCCAUAUUGAGGUGAACUCAUGACCUUAUAAUUACCAUCGUUAUGUAUUAGGCUCCUCACGUAUGUCUGCUGGUUUUCAUUUAAACUUGAAAAUCCCUGACUUAACUUUGCAGGUCUCCUUUUGUCUUAGAACUAACCUCUGUGCUUUCUGAUGAAUGGGGUCAUUUCACUCUCUGCUGCAGGGCAGUCAGUCAACCGAGGAGUUGGAAAAGAGAGCAGAGGCUUAACCUUUAACACCCCACAGCUCAGCAGUGUAGCUCAGAGUCAGAAAAGACAGAGAUUAACAAACCACCUUAAAACUGGCAAGCAUCUCAGAUGGCCUGAUUUGAUUGCCAAGGUUGAUAUUUGAUCAAAGGACCAGGUUCAUGACUGUAUGCAAAUCUACAAACAGAUAUUCUGUUAUAUUUAACUCUCCUUUAUGGAAAUAAUUUCCUGGUUGGGACCAUCCUGCUCCUUUAGAAGUCUUCUUGGUCUGUACAGACAUUAAGAAUAGUGCCAUUCAGCUCUCAGCUUAGUAGCUGGCAUAUAGAUGCCUGGUAGUUGUUUGUUGAACAAGAGUAUGAGUAUUGAUUAUCUGCUCCAUGCCAGGCGCUCUGCUGGGAGGGGUGGGUGCAGGAAUGCAAAAUGAACUGCCCUUGACCGAAGCCCUUAAUGCAUACGCGAGAAGUAGAAUUCAAGGAGGACCCUAAUGGAAGGUGUAGUCGAGGUACAGUCAAAGGUGCUGUCGGUGUGAAAAGGUGGGAGACCUCUCAAAAAGCGAGUUGUAUUAGGCUCUUCAAGUGCGUUUGUUGGUUUCAUGCAAACUUGAAACUGAACUUGAAGUUGUACUAAGACUUCCUGACGCUCUGGGCAAGGAAAGUGAAACCCAUAGAAAGGAAUGACUCAGGAGAAGGUGAGGAGAAGCCAUUUGGCCCAACAGUUUUCCAUCUGCUGGGAAAGCCCUGCAGCGGCCCUCCCCCAACCCAGAACACGAGUGGCCUGAAGAAGGGUGGGCCCUGAACAGGUCCCAAUGGGCAGGCACCCAAGGUUUCCUCUUUUAACUUUUGCUUGAGUUUAAACAAGUAAAAAUCCUGUUUAUGUUUGAACAAAGUUUGUAAGAGGCAAUCGCAGAUGCCAACAUCACAAAGACUUUGAAAGCCACACUCCUAACAGGCUCUUGUUUUGAGGUUUUACCUUCUUCGGAACUUGCUGACAAGGGGCUCUCAGCCUUGCCGGAUGCUUCAGGAUGCACACGAGAAUUCCACUCUGCUUUGCGACACAAGAGGUUGGAGAAUGACUCCCCAAGGCUGUCCAAGUCCAAGCUUUGGAAACUGUGAAUGUUAACUCACAUGGCAAAGAGACUCUGCAAAUGAGAUCAAAGAUUUUGAGAGGAGGGGAUAAUCUGGGAUUAUCUGGAUGGACUGGAUGUAGUCACAAAGGUCCAUAUAAGAGGGACAUGGGAGAAGUCAGGGGAGGAGGAGAGGUGAUACAGAGGCAGAGCCUGUCAUGAUGCAUUUUGAAGACCAAGGAAGGGGCCACAAGCCAAGGAAUAACAAGGAGGUCACUAGGAGCUGGCAAAGCAAGUAUACAGACCCUCCCAUCGGAGCCUCCAGAAGAAACUACCUCUGCAGACACCUUGAUCUCAGCCCUGUGAAACUCAUCUCGCACUUCUGCCCCAGAACUGUAAAAGAAUAAACGCAUGUUGUUUUG